rnacentral:misc_RNA from 1 species
UCGAACAGGGAACAGGGCAGAGGGACUGUCGCUGGCGUCUUCUCGCAUGUGCACGUCCUUCUGCUUUUUACUCUAUUUACACCUGUGCACUUUUUGUAGAUCCCCCCUCGAAAGAGAGAGGGAUCUAUGUCUUUAUCAUAUCAUCUCACAUGUAUGGCCAGAAUGAAAACAUAAUAAAAUA